UACGUAGGGUGCAAGCGUUAAUCGGAAUUACUGGGCGUAAAGCGUGCGUAGACGGUUAUUUAAGUCGGAUGUGAAAGCCCCGGGCUCAACCUGGGAAUUGCAUUCGAGACUGAAUAGCUAGGGUACGGUAGAGGGAAGCGGAAUUUCCGGUGUAGCGGUGAAAUGCGUAGAUAUCGGAAGGAACAUCAGUGGCGAAAGCGGCUUCCUGGACCAGUACCGACGUUCAGGCACGAAAGCGUGGGGAGCAAACAGG
rnacentral:rRNA from 1 species